AAUCAAUCAGCAGAAACCUGUGGGAAUGAGAAAUACGACUUCAGGCAGGGGAUGUUGUGAUGCAGAUUUUCUGGCCUGAUUGAAAACAGAGACAAAUUGCAAAAGACAACAUACUGGGCCUGCCAAGCCAUGGGACAAGUGUACCAUGACAGCUGCUUCACCUGCUAUGUCUGCGGUGCUCCAGGAUUUGGGAAAGUCCUUCCAUCCCGACUGUUUCCGAUGUGUCAUCUGUAAUGAAACUCUGGAGGGACAGCAAUUCAGUGUAGACACACAAAACAAGAUAUACUGUGUGAAAGAUUACCAC
ensembl:lncRNA